rnacentral:rRNA from 1 species
UACAGAGGGUGCAAGCGUUAUCCGGAUUUAUUGGGCGUAAAGCGUCUCGUAGGCGGUUCAGAAAGUUAUUCUUUAAAGACCACGGCUUAACCGGGGGAAGGGGAGUAAUACUACUGGACUUGGUUAUUGGUGGGGCUUCUGGAACUGAUGGUGUAGUAGUGAAAUACGUUGAUAUCAUCAGGAACUCCGAGGGCGAAGGCAGGAAGCUAAUCAAUUAACGACGCUGAGGAACGACAGCUAGGGGAGCGAAAGGG